UUGAACGCUGGCGGCAGGCCUCACACAUGCAAGUCGCGCGGAUGAAGGGAGCUUGCUCCUGGAUUCAGCGGCGGACGGGUGAGUAAUGCCUAGGAAUCUGCCUGGUAGUGGGGGAUAACGUCCGGAAACGGGCGCUAAUACCGCAUACGUCCUGAGGGAGAAAGUGGGGGAUCUUCGGACCUCACGCUAUCAGAUGAGCCUAGGUCGGAUUAGCUAGUUGGUGGGGUAAAGGCCUACUAAGGCGACGAUCCGUAACUGGUCUGAGAGGAUGAUCAGUCACACUGGAACUGAGACACGGUCCAGACUCCUACGGGAGGCAGCAGUGGGGAAUAUUGGACAAUGGGCGAAAGCCUGAUCCAGCCAUGCCGCGUGUGUGAAGAAGGUCUUCGGAUUGUAAAGCACUUUAAGUUGGGAGGAAGGGCAGUAAGUUAAUACCUUGCUGUUUUGACGUUACCAACAGAAUAAGCACCGGCUAACUUCGUG
rnacentral:rRNA from 1 species